rnacentral:rRNA from 1 species
CCUACGGGGGGCUGCAGUAAGGAAUAUUGGUCAAUGGACGCAAGUCUGAACCAGCCAUGCCGCGUGGAGGAUGAAGGUCCUCUGGAUUGUAAACUUCUUUUAUUUGGGAAGAAACUCGCGAUUUCCAUCGGGAUUGACGGUACCAGAUGAAUAAGCACCGGCUAACUCCGUGCCAGCAGCCGCGGUAAUAAGGAGGGUGCAGGCGUUAUCCGGAUUCACUGGGUUGUAGGUGGGCGUGUAUGUCAGUGGUGAAAUCUCAGGGCUUAACCCGGAAACUGCCAUUGAUACUAUUUGUCUUGAAUACUCUGGAGGUGAGCGGAAUAUGUCAUGUAGCGGUGAAAUGCUUAGAGAUGACAUAGAACACCCAUUGCGAAGGCAGCUCACUACGGAAAUAUUGACGCUGAGGCACGAAAGCGUGGGGAUCAAACAGGAUUAGAUACCCUAGUAGUC